AAUAUGAAUAACUUUAUAACAAAAAAACGAAUCAGUAUGAAAAUAUAAAUUUACAAGAUAUAUGUAAAGAAUAUCAUUAUAAUAACAUGAUUUCAAAAAACAACAUAUUACAAUCUUAUAUUUUAAGUAAUCCUAUUAAUGCUGCUACAGUUAAUGAAUUAAUAACUAAUAGAUUAGCUAUCGGAGGGUAUAAAAAUUGUUUAAAAGUAUUUGAUUUGUUUACUGGUAAUUAUAUUUGGCAAGCUAAACAUCUGGGAAAUACUUUACUAAAAUUACAUUGUGACACACUUAUAAAGUCGAUAAAUUUUCUCAAUGAUAUAAAUGUUAAUGUGUUAGCAGCUGGAACAUAUGAUCAAAAAAUUUUACUUUUUGAUAUGAGAUGUCAAAGUAAGUCUGUAUAUGUUUAUGAUCAUUUUAAAACUUCCAAUGUGAGUAAAAAUAAAUUUAAUUAUUCUAAUUAUAUUUAUUCGGAAAGUGAUUUAGUUUUUACUAACAUAUGUAGUAAUACGUACAUACACGAAAUAAAACCUGAAACAUUGGCACAAUCAAAUGCGCAAAUAAAUAACACAGAAGAUCUACAUAAUUUUAAAACUGUGCAAUUUAAAAAAGAAGAAAACACCACAAAAAAUGAUACAUAUAUGCUAAACUCUAAAAAUAAAACUAAAAUUAACAAAACUGAUUUGAAACGAAAAAGAGAUGAAUCAGUAGAUAUCCUAAAUAACGAAAAUGAUGACCAGGUCAUAGCUGAAUUUAAUACAAAUGAGUUGAAAUCAACAAACAUACAGAUUUUUAAUAAGUUGGUAAUUAAAAUAGAAGAUGAAAGCAAAGAAACGAGUGAAAAAGAAAUAGAAAGCGAAAACAACGUAGUAAACGAAAACAAUGAAAAUGACAAAAUUAAAAACAUAAUUGUAAAAAAAGAAAUAGAGGAACAAGAACAAAAACAAAAACCGAAUGAAUACCCUAUUUUGGGCGAUACAAACAAAUGUAAAGAAAAUUGCAAAAAAUAUUGCAUUAAAAAAUUUGCACAUAAGGAUAGCCAAAUUAUUUUUAUUUCAGAUAAUUAUGGUAAUGUUUAUGAAUUUGAAAUAACAACGGGAAAUAUGUUAUUAAAUUAUAUAUAUAAUAAAAAAAACACAAUAGAAAAGCAAACAUGUAAAAAACAGAAAAUAGAAAGAGAUAAAUAUAUAAUAGAACAUAGAAAAGAAUUAUAUGAUUUCUAUAAAGAAUAUCAAGCAAAUAAUAAAAGUCAUGUACGAAAUGAUUUACCUGUAAUGUGGGCUAAACAUGAUUUUGAUCAAUUUUUAAUUACACUUAAAAAAAAACAUAAAUUACAUCGUGGUGCUAUUUCAUUUUUAAAUAUGCAUAAACAAAAAAACCUUCUUUGUUCUGCAAGUUACGAUCGAUUUAUAAUUAUUUUCAACAUAAAUAAAAGAAAAAUUAUUAAACGCAUACAUGUAGGAAAUAUAGUGACUUCCUGUUUGUUCCAUUCGAAUAUUAUAGAUGACGUAAACAGUAACAAAGAAGAAAGUGAUGGAGAGGAUGUGGAUGAGGAUGACGGGGAUGAGGAUGAGGAUGACGGGGAUGAGGAUGAGGAUGAGGAUGAGGAUGAGGAUGAGGAUGAGGAUGAGGAAGAGGAUGAGCAAGAGGAUGAGGAUGAGGAUGAGGAUGAGCAAGAGGAUGAGGAUGAGCAAGAGGAUGAGGAUGAGCAAGAGGAUGAAGAAAAUAGUGAGGGGGAUUAAAAUAAUAAACGAAAUAGCAAUUAUCA
ensembl:lncRNA